rnacentral:sRNA from 1 species
UUUAUCACGCAAAUAGAUAGCGUUAUGGUAUUAAAAUGGAAACAUUUGUAAAAAAGAAUAAAUGGAAUAGUAGUUCCAAGUGGUUUACAUUUGGAAAAAAAUUAGACCGUAGUUUGAAGCUGC